rnacentral:rRNA from 1 species
UACGGAGGGUGCGAGCGUUGUCCGGAAUCACUGGGCGUAAAGGGCGCGUAGGCGGCGCGGGUAGUCAUCGGUGAAAGUUCAGGCUCAACUCUGAAUCGGCCGGUGAUACUCCCGUGCUCGAGCACUGUAGAGGCAGGUGGAAUUCCCGGUGUAGAGGUGAAAUUCGUAGAUAUCGGGAGGAACACCAGUGGCGAAGGCGGCGAUCUGGGCAGAUACUGACGCUGAGGUGCGAAAGCGUGGGGAGCAAACAGGAUUAAGAAACCCUUGGUACGUCC